rnacentral:misc_RNA from 1 species
UGCUCGGGCAGCGACAACAUGCCUUGCUCGCCUCUUCAUUAGUCGGAACAAGCGCGGGCUUGUCCGGAGUCGGUUUUCUGUGUUGCAUACCUAUCACGACGGCAUUCGACGGUUAAAAAUGUCCCAUCUCCGUCUUGUGUCGCUGCCCCGAGCGGGCGAGCGGCACGGGGCGGAUCUCACGGCACCCGUCGUGUUUCGAGCCGCAUUCACCCAUACGGGUGUUUGGGUAGACGACCCACGACGUGUUGCCCGUUGCCUCGGGUGCGGAAUAUCGGGUGGGUACGAGGCCUUUGGCCUCCGAUCGCCACAUCAAUGCGUUCUACGCUUUUUGCGAACGACGGUCGGUUCGAGCCUUGUCCGUGCACUCCCGUGCAUCGGUUCAAGUCGCG